rnacentral:rRNA from 1 species
GACGAACGCUGGCGGCGUGCUUAACACAUGCAAGUCGAGCGGUAAGGCCUUUCGGGUACACGAGCGGCGAACGGGUGAGUAACACGUGGGUGACCUGCCCUGCACUUCGGGAUAAGCCUGGGAAACUAGGGUCUAAUACCGGAUGGGACCAUUCCAUGCAUGUGGGUGGUGGAAAGUCGGUGCUGUUGUGGUGUCGGCGGUGGGGAGUGGG